UAUGUUGGUAGUGAGAGCUGAGAUCCUGAAAACUAUGUUUGCUGCUGCUCCCGUCUCUCUCCCCCAGUCAUCAAGUCCUGUAGCAGAACACUCGUCAACCCGUAAGGCUUCCCCAACAGCUGCGUGAGGAGUGGAUGGGGCUGAAUGGCGGCAGAGAGGAAUGGAAGAGCAUGAGCGUGGCAGAUGCCCCUUGUGACCAAGGACAAGGUCACGUUCACCUCUGUGAUCCCGGGCCCACACAGUGACAGGUGCAGAGCAGGUGUUACACCGAAGAAUUGGAGAUCUCAGAUGGAAGGGUUGACGGAGGAGGCCAGGUUACUCGCUAGGUCCCACGGGUCCGCAGGGCUUAGCGCCCACGCUCGCCAGCUCCACGCUCCGGGGCACCCCCCCCGCCCCGCCCCCCGCCCGCGUCCCGUCGGCGGAGGCAGCGGGAAGAGGACCCCAGAGGACCCGUGUGUCAGCAUCGGCAAUGCUCAGUCUCGUCGUGGGCCUGACUGGGAAGAAGCAUUCCUCGGUUGCCGGCGCCCCCGGCUUCCUCGGCCUAGCCUGCCCCUCGCACUCACUCGCCAAGCUGUGUGGUCUCGGGCCAGUUGCCUAACCUCUCUGCCUCCACCGCUUCUUCCGUAGGUAAACUCUGCAAGUUGGACGCCAAGAGAGCACUGAGCGCAAGUCUGGCCCAGACGAGAAGCGUUGGCUACGGUAUAGCGCACGCGGCUCACUCGUUUCGGUGUCACAGGCACGACGUCUCCACCGGUACCUCGUGGCACCUAGGACCCACAUCCUGGACCACUCAGACCCCAAGGUCAGGUCACGCUCGAGCUACCUCGGCCUUCCCUCAAUCCCACUAAGGAAGGAACGUAGGAAGGUGGCCACUUCUGCCCUGGGGAAACGGAGGCCCGGGGG